GACGAACGCUGGCGGCGUGCUUAACACAUGCAAGUGGAGCGACGAACCAGGGCUUGCCCUGGGGCAGAGCCGCGAACGGGUGAGUAACACGUGGGUAACCUGCCUCGAUGAUCGGGACAACCCGGGGAAACCCGGGCUAAUACCGAAUGUGCUCCGACCACACCAGUGGACGGCGUAAAGGAAGCUUCGGCCUCCGCAUCGAGAUGGGCCCGCGGCCCAUUAGCUUGUUGGUGGGGUAAAGGCCCACAAAGGGUGCGAUGGGUAGCUGGUCUGAGAGGACGAUCAGCCACACUGGGACUGAGACACGGCCCAGACUCCUACGAGAGGCAGCAGUGGGGAAUCUUGCGCAAUGCGCGAAAGCGUGACGCAGCAACGCCGUGUGGGGGAAGACGGCCUUAGGGUUGUAAACCCCUUUCAGGAGGGACGAAGGUCGGCGCGUUAAUAGCGUGUCCGACUGACGGUACCUCCACAAGAAGCCCCGGCUAACUACGUGCCAGCAGCCGCCGUAA
rnacentral:rRNA from 1 species